rnacentral:rRNA from 1 species
GCUUACGACCACACCGGCCUGAGUACGCCUGAUCUCGUCUGAUCUCGGAAGCUAAGCAGGGUGGGCCGGUUAGUACUUGGAUGGGAGACUUCCUGGGAAAACCAGGUGCUGUAAGCU